CUCAACACAGGAAGAUCACACCAUCCCCCACCAUGACCAGAGUGGAAAUAUUAGCAAUAUUCCUAUUAAAGAAGAGAUAAAAGAAGAAGAACGAUGGUGGUAGUGGAGAAGUGGGACUAUUUAGAAGGAAAGACGGAUGUGAUGGUGGAGAAUCAGCCAUGUCACAAAUCACCGGAUGGAUCCAUUUAUGAGAACCUACGAGAGGGAGGUCCACCAGAGGGAGGGUCCACCAGAGGGAGGUCCACCAGAGGGAGGUCCACCAGAGGGAGGUCCACCAGAGGGAGGUCCACCAGAGGGGAGGUCCUGCAGAGAGAUGUCCAAGUCUUCAAUGUUCUCAGGUUUCCACACAAGAUGACACAGCAUCCCUCACCAUGAUCAGAGUGGAAAUAUGAGCAAUAUUUCUAUUAAAAAAGAGAUCAAAGAAGAAGAAGAAGAGAAGGAGGGUGUUACAGAGGAGCUGAACUGUUAGAAGGACACAAGGACGUCAUGAUGGAGAAUCGGCCGCCCUUCUUAUCACCGGAUGGAUCCAGUAAUGGGAACCCACCAG